rnacentral:rRNA from 1 species
UACGGAGGAUGCAAGCGUUAUCCGGAAUGAUUGGGCGUAAAGCGUCCGCAGGUGGCUGUGUAAGUCUGCUGUUAAAGAGUGAGGCUCAACCUCAUAAAGGCAGUGGAAACUACAUGGCUAGAGUGCGUUCGGGGCAGAGGGAAUUCCUGGUGUAGCGGUGAAAUGCGUAGAGAUCAGGAAGAACACCGGUGGCGAAAGCGCCUCUGCUAAGCCGCAACUGACGACUGAAGG